CAAGGAUUACCAAAGAAGUCUAUAAAGAGCUAGGUUCAGAGAACAUUAUUUCAUAUAAGAAAUUUCAUCCCUCAAUCAUGUGCUCAAAGAGAGGCCUUGAAAACAAAAUAAGAGAAUCAUAGACAGAGGAACAGACUGCUUUGCAAAAGAGUGACCCUCUCCUGACAGAUGUGGCUGCCAUGGGAAACCAGAGAGCAAGCAUGCUGUAGACUUAAUUGCACCGGUUUGCAGGAGGUAUUUGCACGCCUGCCAACAGCAUUUGUGAGCGAAAGGUUAGUGUGUGUGUCAUAAAAGUCCUUGUCUUUGAAGGAACAUAGAGCAGGGAUUAAGGGCUGAGUCUAAUGAGAGUGCUCAGGGGUCAGACGGAGGGAAGUGACAAGUGCUAGAUGAUUUUUCUGGGCUCUCUCUCUGAGUAAAGAUGAUUGCAGUGCCAGGCAGCCAGGGAGCAGAAGUGCUGUAGAUGACUAGGCCCCUGCCUCUUUCCGGGGUCCAAGAUGACCUGAAGAAAGUCACUUUACUUCUUGCUGGGAAAAAUCCUAAACUGAGAUUUUUGCUCCCAUCUCAGGGACUGUGAGUUCCCCUAGAAAGAGACUUAACAAUGACAGUGUCAUGGCUUGUGUCUAGCUGCCCCUUCAAAGCCUUAUGCAGUCAUAGAUGGGGCUCUUCCAGAGGUGGCUGGAUCUAGAGUGUGUGAUUAAUUCAUGGUGCAAUGCUAGGAUAAAGGUUGGGUGAUUCCUAAAUCGGUCCACUGAUUGGUUUGACACUGCCCUAAUCCUGGUAGCCUGGAUACAAUAUAAGGGACGUAAAGAGGCUUAUCUGGUCCCUUGCUUUGCUGCCUUCUGCCCACUAUGAACGUUUCUCCUCUGCAAUGUCUGUCUGCUGUGCCACCCUGCCUUGGAACCAGCUGAUUAUGGACUAAAACCUCUACAAACUUUGAAGACAUUGAGACUCUGAGAGGUUAAAUGAUUGCUCAAGGUGAGACAGCAAGCCAUUGGCUGAGGAGAGGCUGAAGUUCAUGUUUAUUUGGCCCCAGAACCCAUGACCUGUGAAUCCUCAGUGACACUGUUCUCUAAGAAUGAGAAUGCCAAGAUUGGAAGGUGGAGCAAAUGAAGGAAAGUGCUUCCUUGUUCUCAGGAACCUCCGGGUGAGCCCACACUCUCUGAGGAAAUACAGAACUCUGACUCCUGCAUGGCUGUGGUCUGCAACUGCUCAGGACCUCACCCCCUCUGCCCUCUCCUACCUUGCACCUACCCUAGCACAGGCACCUGGGCAACAUCCUGCUGGGUGACACUCUCUGGACCUGUGUGUAGGAAGACGGACUUGUGGGUUUAGAUUGAGCAGGAUUCAUCUCUGAUAGAAGCUGUCUCAUUCUCUGGAUUCCCACCUUCAGGUUCCAUCAGAGAAGACUGAUUUAGGCUCUGUCUGAAGGAGCAAUGAAGGGCCUUGGGUAGGAGACCUGACGUGAAUCCCUAACGCUCACACCAACCAUCCUGAGGCAGAGCUGGCCUCUUGUGUUAAUUCAGGAGAGCCGGCCAGGGCGCCAAAGCUGAUCUUCAGGGUGGCACCUUUAACUUUUUGUUGUGGUCCACAUAGUUGGUUAUCAGCAAAGAUUGUUUUGAAUGCAAGCAUUGAUUUGCGAAUGUCCUGUGGGUAAAUAAUGGGUGCAAUGUUAGCUGGUAAGGGCCUUAAGAGAAGGUUGCAUGUGCUCAAGUUCCAGUUCUUCAGAGUCUUAGAGGACCACUUUGCAUGACACCUUUCAUGUCAUGGAAACUAGGCACCUCCUGAAAUGGGGAUGGGAUACUUAAGAGGCAUCAUUCUUCACACUUGACUUCUCCACUUCCCCCAUCACUGGACACUUAGCUGCAGUCACAAUGGACCCAGACCUAUGACCAAUUUGGGAGAGGGGGCCAGCCAGUGGGAGUCAGAUUUCCAAAAUGGGAACAGAAUCUGAGCUCAAGUUACAGCUAAUUCAGUCUUGUUGCUGCUAUAGUCACUCUCACUGCCCUCUGGGCCAUUCUCCCACACUGUAGGUAGAAAGAUCGCUUCACAUUUAAACACGGUCCUGUUGCCUCCCUGGUUUAAAAUAUCCUUUGUCUACCCACUGGGCCUAGAAUACUGGUCAAACCCAUUAAAAUGGCCUACAAGGAUCCUCCCACACCUACCACUCCUUUGUUUCUGCCUCUUCCUUUCCUCAAACUUCAGCUCCAUUUCAUCAACAGGUCUUCUCUGACCUCUUGAUUAGAUCAGAUGCCAUCCCUACAUGUGUACUACCUGACACCCUCAAGGAGAGAAGAGCAUGAGGACAGGAGUCUCAUGGCUUGGCAAUCCACUGCAAGAACAGGCGACAGGUGUGGGUGUGCGCUGCAGGACAAGCACUGUACUGGUUGCUUACAGGCAUUACGAGUCUCACUUGUUGGCUGUAGGACCUAUGAGUUACAAGAACCAAGGCAUGGAGAAAUCAAGCAAUUUGCCCAGUUCAGUGGGAUCUGAAGUCUGGUGGUUCCAGAGCUUCUGCCCAUAGUCUUUAAGCCUGUGGUUCUCAGAGUGGGGUUCUUGGCACCAGUGGUAUCAGCACUGCUGGUACCUUGAGAGAAAUGCAGAUUCCCGGGCUCCACCCCAGAACUAAUGAGUCAGAAUCUCUGGGGUUGGGCCCUGUAAUCUGUGACCCAACCCAGCCUCCAGCUGAUUCCCAUGUUCCGUCAGGCUUGUGAACUCCAGUUCUGGGUCAUUUUUCCAUCUUGUCAUAGCUCCACAUCCUGGACACUUAAUAAAUGCCUGCAUAUGGAAGGGAGGCAGGGAGAGAGGGAGAAAGAAGGCAGGCAGGCAGGCAAGCCUCUUCUCAAAGAAUAUUCUGAAAUAAGUGGAUGGAGGACUGCUGUGGCUUGACCAUACUUUAAUCUCCAAAUUGCAAAAACAUUAACAUUAUUGAUUGAUCAGACAUCAAUCCAACAGAAAUUUAAUUAAAUUAGAAUGUGUCACCGAGCAGACCUGGCUGCAUCAUGCAUAAAUCUCAGGUAAUAAGUUGACAAAGAGGCAGCACCAUUGAUGCUCACCCUGGCUGAAUUUGGCCUGCAUCAUCUUCUCCUACUGUUGGCCUCCAGAGGCCUUGCACAUGCCUUAGGGAGAGUACAGGUGAAAUGGGGUGAAAUCCUGAUUCAUGGCACCCGUCAAGUCGCCAGUGGCUACGGUAUCUGAGAAAUUCCUUCCCUGUGUGAUUUACUUCUGCCUUGGGCCAGCCAAGCGGCAUUGGGGGGAUGCCUCUGGGUGAGCCCAGGCCUUGGGGAAAGUGCUGAGCUGGCUGAGAUCUCCUGGGUGAGGGGUUUAGCACUUGGGGUGUCCUCAUGACCAAUGUGUCCUUAGGAUGAAGCCAGAUCCUCAGAGGGCAGAAGACCUGCACUGGUGUGGCCUGUCUGCCCUCGCCUCAGGAAUGUAUUUUGGUGUCAGCGAGAUGCCGCAGCUGCUGUCCCAGAGACAGGUCUGGAGUGGCUCCAGUGCACUUGGCUCUGGGCCACCAGACCCUCAGCAUCUUAGGCACUGGGGGCAGCAGAGGAUGCCAGGAAGCCACAGACAGCGGUAACAUGGCCUCCUGCGCCUAGAGAGGUCUAAAUCCUUUAGGGUAAAGGAAGGGGUGCCUGAGGACAGGAAAAUCCAGGUGACAAAAAAGAAAGCAGACUGUCCUGGGGUCAGGAAGGCUGUGUGGAAGAAACCCUUCUAACAGUGAUCUCUUGAACCCAACCUUCUUGCUUUCUUUGAUUUCCUUCAAUCAAUCCUGGGCUCACAUUUCCUUUGUAAAUGUCAUCUUCCUUGUAGGGAAUGAUGUUGUUUUGAUAGCACAUGUUUUGAAGAUGUCACAGUCUCUUCUAUGGCUGGCAUUUAUUCCGCAGCUCGCUGGUGAUGUACCCCAGGCUCUGGUCUACAGCAGAGGUCCACAAACUGCAGCCCAGCCAGGCCUGCCACCUGUUUUUAUAAAUAAAGUUUUAUUGGAACAUAGCCAUAUCUGUUUAUACCAUGUCCACGGUUGUUUCCAUGCCAUAAUAGCAGUAUCAAA
ensembl:lncRNA